rnacentral:rRNA from 1 species
GGGUGAGUAACACGUGGGCAACCUGCCUGUAAGACUGGGAUAACUCCGGGAAACCGGAGCUAAUACCGGAUAACAUUUUUUCUUGCAUAAGAGAAAAUUGAAAGAUGGUUUCGGCUAUCACUUACAGAUGGGCCCGCGGUGCAUUAGCUAGUUGGUGAGGUAACGGCUCACCAAGGCAACGAUGCAUAGCCGACCUGAGAGGGUGAUCGGCCACACUGGGACUGAGACACGGCCCAGACUCCUACGGGAGGCAGCAGUAGGGAAUCUUCCGCAAUGGACGAAAGUCUGACGGAGCAACGCCGCGUGAGUGAUGAAGGCUUUCGGGUCGUAAAACUCUGUUGUUAGGGAAGAACAAGUACAAGAGUAACUGCUUGUACCUUGACGGUACCUAACCAGAAAGCCACGGCUAACUACGUGCCAGCAGCCGCGGUAAUACGUAGGUGGCAAGCGUUAUCCGGAAUUAUUGGGCGUAAAGCGCGCGCAGGCGGUUUCUUAAGUCUGAUGUGAAAGCCCACGGCUCAACCGUGGAGGGUCAUUGGAAACUGGGGAACUUGAGUGCAGAAGAGAAAAGCGGAAUUCCACGUGUAGCGGUGAAAUGCGUAGAGAUGUGGAGGAACACCAGUGGCGAAG